UCAGGCCUCCAGAGGGCCUCUGAGGGAGUGGGGAAGGCUGUUUUCACCCUCCCCAGAUGCAUAGAAAGGAUCUGGAGCCAGACUCAGCAAUUCUAUGCUUCAUGCUACUGAUGGAGAAGCCUGGGAUCUCCAGAUGUUGACGAGCUACCACAUCUGGAGGGAUAGCACUUCUGCUCUACACGAAGGAAGGAAGGAAGAACGGGUGGAAGUCAAAGGAGAGGCGUAGGGAUUCGAUUUAAUUGUUGAGCACACGGAUCUUCGAGGAAGGGGGAAAAAAAACCACAAGAGGUUUUCCAUAUGGACUUCCUGAACAUUUCAGGGUCUUGUUAAGCCCUUUGGAACAAUUCCUUCCUUUGAGCACAACGAUACCCAAUGUUGUUUUACAGUCCAUUGCAUUUGUGAACCAGGAAUAAAAUUACUAUAUCCAUUUUCAUUACAUA